rnacentral:lncRNA from 1 species
UAUAUGCAUGAAAUAAAAAGCUCUAACUAUUAACAACAGUUAUCCCUAGGGAAUAUAGUAUUAGGUUGGCACAAAAGUAAUUGCAUUUUUGCCAUGAAGAGUAAGGUUACCACCUAUGGGCUUUCAUCUGUGGGCUAGAUGAGAAAGAAAGAGGGAAGUUUCACUUUUACCUUAUUCACUUCUAUUUGACUUAAGAUAUUUGGCAAGAGAUUUUGGCAUUUAGUGGGUACUACAGGGGAAAAUGUUAUCAACAAUUGCUUAUAAGACUGAUUUUGGCGCGUAUGUUUUGUAUUCCUUCGGGGUUUUUUUGUUUGUUUGUUUGUUUUUAAUGAAUCUUAAAUUUAAUAAAGCUUGGCAUGGCCAUGGCCAUGUACCUGAAUAUAUCAUAAACAUUUAUUUGAAGACUUCUUGAUAACUUUGUUAUACUAAGCAAAGAAAAUG